rnacentral:lncRNA from 1 species
AUGGACCCAGGUGGGGACGCGGGCGGGGUCAGCGCUGCUCUCAGCAGGGCUCCCCAGCCCCGCGCAGGGGAACAAACCCAGCCGCUGACCCCGCCAGGGGCAGGAGUGGGGCAGCACCUCUGCCCCCGGCACCCUGCAGCGGCGUGGGGUGAGUGCGGGGCACCCGAGCCCCCCUGCACCAGCCCCCCCACCCCUCGCAGGGGUACCCGGAGGCCAGGCCCCCCGUUAGGGCCCCAGCACCACACCGGKGCGGCUCCAGGCGGCUCUGAGCCGGGCCCCUGCCUGCCCCGGGGGUGGCAUCGCCCAGGCGGUGCCUGGCCUCAUGUCCCUGGGCUCCCUGGCCCAGCGCUCACCCCGCAGCCCAUGGCGGGGCCGUGGCUGCUGCCGUCGCGGGGCUCACCCCGGGCAGGCGGGUGGGAAGGGAAGGCAGCGUUCCUGCAGGCUGAGCCAGCGCUGACUCCCGGCCCACAGCUGCUUCCCGACGAGCCCAGCACCGGCCCCAGGCUGCGAGGCCGUGGGCUGCGCUGGCUCCCCUCUUCCAGCUCCCUCUGUCCCUCCGGUGGCACUGGGCCGCUGGCAGCCAGCAAAGGGGCUCUUGCCGCAGCUGGUGCCCGGGGUCAGGGAUGCUGGGCCACGCCAGAGCCCUUCUCCACCAGACAGGCAUGUUCCGCCCCUUCCCUUCGUCCUCACCGGGCAGAGGCCGCGUGCGGCGCCCAGCUCCGUCCCGCUCCGCGGCCUCGAGGCAGUGCCGGGGAAGCGCGGCACGACCGCUCUCUCCACUCACGCCUGCAGUUUGGGGUCAGCCCCGGCCCGUCCCAGGGCGGCCCUCGGCCCCGCCGGGUGCUCCCCAGAGCGGGGCGCCCCGAGACRCCCCGGCUUGCGCGCCGGCCGGCUGCAGGCGCCCGGCAUGGCGAGCUGCGGCCGGCACCACAUUCGAAGCGGGUGCGGGGGGCCGGCCCGCGGCGCCGCGGCUGCUGGAGCGAGAGGUUGCAGGGCAGCGAGCCGGGGAGGGGGAAGGCUCUCGCUUGUGUUAUUUACCUGGGACUAAACGCAGGCACCGUUUGCUAA